rnacentral:rRNA from 1 species
UACAGAGGUCUCAAGCGUUGUUCGGAUUCAUUGGGCGUAAAGGGUGCGUAGGCGGCGCGGUAAGUCGGGUGUGAAAUCUCGGGGCUUAACUGUGGGCUUGCAGUCGAUACGGGCAGGCUGGAGUUCGGUAGGGGAGACUGGAAUUCCUGGUGUAGCGGUGAAAUGCGCAGAUAUCAGGAGGAACACCGAUGGCGAAGGCAGCUCGCUGGGACGGUACUGACGCUGAGGCGCGAAAGCGUGGGGAGCAAACAGG